GAUGAACGCUGGCGGCGUGCCUAAUACAUGCAAGUCGAGCGAACAGACGAGGAGCUUGCUCCUCUGACGUUAGCGGCGGACGGGUGAGUAACACGUGGAUAACCUACCUAUAAGACUGGGAUAACUUCGGGAAACCGGAGCUAAUACCGGAUAACAUGUUGAACCGCAUGGUUCAACAGUGAAAGACGGUUUUGCUGUCACUUAUAGAUGGAUCCGCGUCGCAUUAGCUAGUUGGUAAGGUAACGGCUUACCAAGGCAACGAUGCGUAGCCGACCUGAGAGGGGGAUCGCCCACCCUGGAACGUAGCCACGGUCCAGACUCCUAAGGGAGGCAGCAGUAGGGAAUCUGACGCAAUGGGCGAAAGCCUGACGGAGCAACGCCGCGUGAGUGAAGAAGGUCUUCGGAUCGUAAAACUCUGUUAUUAGGGAAGAACAAAUGUGUAAGUAAAUAUGCACGUCUUGACGGUACCUAAUCAGAAAGCCACGGCUAACUACGUG
rnacentral:rRNA from 1 species